rnacentral:lncRNA from 1 species
GAUGGCUUCCCGUCGAACGUGUCUGAACCGUGAGAAAGGACAGAGGAAGUGUCGAGCAUCAUUUAUAACAUAGCCCCCAGAGAAGAAGAGUCCGCUGCUUCCCCAAAAUUUAAAGCUGCUAGAACCAAGCAUGCAUCUCCCUCAAAAUCAAGCAUAAACCAAAUGAGUAUUGAAUAUGUGUGGAAGAUCUAGUAUUCCACAUGGCCAUGCAUGCUAUCAGUUGCGAAGCCAGGAUUUUAGUUGAGGAGGGAUCUCACAUAAAUGUAAAAAAGAAAAAGAAAAAAAGAUAGUGUUUACAAGAGAGUAUAAUACAUAGUUGUACGUAGUUGGAGUUGUGAGCUAAUUAAAAAAUGGGAUACUUUGGAUGCGGUCCCUAAUUCUUAACAUUAUUUGAUUAAAACCUUAAUAGUAUUCAAAGUUUGAUCAAAGUCCCUUGACUUUGUACACCUCAUUAUAUUACUAUUAAUAUUUAUAUUUUUAAAGUUUUGACAUUAAUUGUUUGAUAUUUUAUAAGAUUUAUAAUCCUAUAAAUUUAAAAUCCCUCAUUACAAUACUAUUAGAAAUGGUUACAAUUAAAAAAUUCAAACAUUUUGAUUGAAUAAAUGGAUAAAAACUAUGUAAAAAUAAGAAAUAAUAAAUGGCAAAAGAAUGUAUCCAUAGUGUUAAAAAAAUUGGUACUUGUCACAUAUAACAAAGUGGUUCAUUAAUAAAGAAGAAAGGGUACAUAUAAAAGAUUAAAAAAUUAUGAGUACAAAUGAAUUUUUUAAAAAUAUAGGCGCUAAAAGAAAUUAAUACAUGAGUACAAAAUAAAACUAAAAAGAAAAUACUACAAAUUUAAAAAAAAAAUGUUGCAAAUUAAAAGUUGGUACAAACUAAAAAUAUAAAUAUAUGAUACAAAGUUUAGGCAAAAAACAUAAAUAUACCUUAUGUAAUUUAUGUGUGGAAGAUCUAGUAUUGCACAUGGCCAUGCAUGCUAUCAGUUGCGGAGCCAGGAUUUUAGUUGAGGAGGGAUCUCACAUAAAUGUUAAAAAAAAAUAGUGUUAACAAGAGAGUAUAAUACAUAGUUGUACGUAGUUAGAGUUGUGAGCUAAUUAAAAAAUGGGAUACUUUGGAUGUGGUACCUAAUUCUUAACAUUCUUUGAUUAAAAGCUUAAUAGUAUUCAAAGUUUGAUCAAAGUCCCUUGACUUUGUACACCUCAUUAUAUUACUAUUAAUAUUUAUAUUUUUAUAGUUUUGACAUUAAUUGUUUGAUAUUUUAUAAGAUUUAUAAUCCUAUAAAUUUAAAUCCUUCAUUACAAUACUAUUAGAAACGGUUACAAUUAAAAAAUUCAAACAUUUUGAUUGAAUAAAUGGAGAAAAACUAUGUAAAAAUAAGAAAUAAAAAAUGGCAAAAGAAUGUAUCCAUAGUGUUAAAAAAAUUGGUACUUGUCACAUAUAACAAAGUGGUACAUUAAUAAAGAAGAAGGGGUACAUUAUAAAUAAAUUAGGGUACAGAUAAAAGAUUAAAAAAUUAUGAGUACAAAUGAAUUUUUUUAAAAUAUAGGCCCUAAAAGAAAUUAAUACAUGAGUACAAAAUAAAACUAAAAAGAAAAUACUACAAAUUUAAAAAAAAAAUGUUGCAAAUUAAAAGUUGGUACAAACUAAAAAUAUAAAUAUAUGAUACAAAGUUUAGGCAAAAAACACAAAUAUACCUUAUGUAAUUUUUCUAUCAUUGAUUAAAUAUUCAAUGUCACGUGACGGUAUAUACAUGGGUACAAACACAAAUAAAACUUUAAAAAAUAUUGGCACAAAAAGAAACUAAUAUAUGGGUACAAUUAAAAAUGAAAAGAAAAUUGGUAUAAAUUAAAAAAUAUUUGCAAAUUAAAAAUAGGUACAAACUAAAAAUAAAAAUAUAUGAUAAAAACUUUAGCCAUAAAUAUAAAUAUACUAAUUGUAACAUUUUUAACACUAAAGGAAUAGAUUUAAAAAUAAAAAUAUUUUAUUAUUCAAAUAAUUAAUGAUGUUAUUAAUACCAAAGGACCUUGAUAAAAUACUGAAAAUGAAUAGGAUUUUAAUCAAUGAAGUAACAAAAAGAAGGAUGUGAACGUAAUUUUCCCUUAAAAAGUUUUAGACUCUAAAUGUUUUUUUUCUAUGUUUAAGUUAACCUUUCAAUAUCAAGUCAAUAUAGAGAGUUAUUA